UACGAAGGGGGCUAGCGUUGCUCGGAAUCACUGGGCGUAAAGGGUGCGUAGGCGGGUCUUUAAGUCAGGGGUGAAAUCCUGGAGCUCAACUCCAGAACUGCCUUUGAUACUGAAGAUCUUGAGUCCGGGAGAGGUGAGUGGAACUGCGAGUGUAGAGGUGAAAUUCGUAGAUAUUCGCAGGAACACCAGUGGCGAAGGCGGCUCACUGGCCCGGUACUGACGCUGAGGAGCGAAAGCGUGGGGAGCGAACAGG
rnacentral:rRNA from 1 species